rnacentral:lncRNA from 1 species
UGUCCUAGCUCUCUUCACCAACCCCGAAGUCGAGGCAUCUUUCCUCUUGUGGGUCUUGAGACCCUGGGCUAGCCUCCAAGCCAUGCUUGUGUCCAUGUCUACGAUAAAAAGAAAUCAACACGGCUUAGAGAUGGAAUAAGAAAAAUGAGAACCAAAAAAAAAAAAUGAAUGAAAUGAUGAAUCGGUACCGGCAGGAUUAAGAGGGCUCAGGCCGACGUUGAACAAAAAUUAUUCCCUCAG